GACGAACCGUGCGAACGUUAUUCGGAAUCACUGGGCUUAAAGCGCGUGUAGGCGGGACGGCACGUCGGUCGCUGAAAGCCCCCGGCUCAACCGGGGAACGGGCGCCGAUACGACCGCCCUCGAGGAACGUAGGGGGACCUGGAACUUCCGGUGGAGCGGUGAAAUGCGUUGAGAUCGGAAGGAACGCCCGUGGCGAAAGCGAGGUCCUGGACGUUUACUGACGCUGAGACGCGAAAAGCCAGGGGGAGCGAACGGG
rnacentral:rRNA from 1 species